GUUAAAAAAAAGAGAGAAACACCAGCCGUCCAGCGCAGCCAGCCGGCCCACCACACGCAGCCCACCAAACCCCGCACAGCCACGACCCAGCCCAGCCGACCGAAUCGGUACGCGCAGCGACCGCACGCCCGAUCGCUCGCUCGCCUCAGCCGCUGCCAGCGGGCCCCACCCCGCGCCCCUGUUCAUCCCCUCCACCGAGCCGGACACCGCGCGCACGCACGCCGAGGCCGAGCCGGAUCGUCCUGCGCCCCUGGUCGACCCCGCGCGCGCUCGAGACCCCGUAUGCGGGCAAAAACCCUCGACGAACCCUACCGCAGCCUUCUCCCCCUCGCCACUCGUCCACGCGCAGCCAUAGGGCAAAACGGAUCUCGCCGGAGGAACUCGAGACCGCCGCCGUUCGUCGCUCCGUUCCGUCGCCCAGAGGGAGAGGAACAAGCCGGCCGACUUCACCGGAGACUCGCCGUAGUUCACGUCUUCGCCACGGCUGUUUGAGGACGCCCCGUCGUCCUUUAACCCCACCAACGCCUCCGCCACUCAACGCCGCACAUGUCCGUCACCUCGCCUUCGCCGGAGACCCACCGGAGGAGCGCCGCCGCCGUCCUCUGCUUCUGAUUGUCCGGAGUGCGACGCGAACUAUUGUCGGGAGUGUGACUUUCUGAACCAGAACCAAG